GACGAACGCUGGCGGCGUGCCUAAUACAUGCAAGUUGAGCGCUGAAGGUUGGUACUUGUACCAACUGGAUGAGCAGCGAACGGGUGAGUAACGCGUGGGGAAUCUGCCUUUGAGCGGGGGACAACAUUUGGAAACGAAUGCUAAUACCGCAUAAAAACUUUAAACACAAGUUUUAAGUUUGAAAGAUGCAAUUGCAUCACUCAAAGAUGAUCCCGCGUUGUAUUAGCUAGUUGGUGAGGUAAAGGCUCACCAAGGCGAUGAUACAUAGCCGACCUGAGAGGGUGAUCGGCCACAUUGGGACUGAGACACGGCCCAAACUCCUACGGGAGGCAGCAGUAGGGAAUCUUCGGCAAUGGACGAAAGUCUGACCGAGCAGCGCCGCGUGAGUGAAGAAGGUUUUUGGAUCGUAAAACUCUGUUGGUAGAGAAGAACGUUGGUGAGAGUGGAAAGCUCAUCAAGUGACGGUAACUACCCAGAAAGGGACGGCUAACUACGUG
rnacentral:rRNA from 1 species